AUUGAACGCNGGCGGCAUGCUUUACACAUGCAAGUCGGACGGCAGCACAGAGAAGCUUGCUUCUUGGGUGGCGAGUGGCGAACGGGUGAGUAACAUAUCGGAACGUACCGAGCAGUGGGGGAUAACUAAUCGAAAGAUUAGCUAAUACCGCAUAUUUUCUGAGGAAGAAAGCAGGGGACCAUUUGGCCUUGCGCUGUUUGAGCGGCCGAUAUCUGAUUAGCUAGUUGGUGGGGUAAAGGCCUACCAAGGCGACGAUCAGUAGCGGGUCUGAGAGGAUGAUCCGCCAC
rnacentral:rRNA from 1 species